CAGCCGCCGCGGUAAUACAGAGGGUGCGAGCGUUAAUCGGAUUUACUGGGCGUAAAGCGUGCGUAGGCGGCUAAUUGAGUCGGAUGUGAAAUCCCCGAGCUUAACUUGGGAAUUGCAUUCGAUACUGGUUAGCUAGAGUGUGGGAGAGGAUGGUAGAAUUCCAGGUGUAGCGGUGAAAUGCGUAGAGAUCUGGAGGAAUACCGAUGGCGAAGGCAGCCAUCUGGCCUAACACUGACGCUGAGGUACGAAAGCAUGGGGAGCAAACAGUAUUAGAUACCCCAGUAGUCCCUGUCUCUUAUAC
rnacentral:rRNA from 1 species